CGGGCCGUAGCUCAGUUGGCAGAGCGCACGGUUCGGGACCGUGAGGUCGCGGGUUCGAGCCCCGCCGGCCCGA
rnacentral:tRNA from 1 species